CCAAAACAACCAUCAUUCCAUACCCAAAAUCAUCAUAACCAUGUUAACUUUACAAAAGACGGAAUACAAAAAAUAUACACAUGCUGAAAAUAGAGAAACAGCUUCGUAUUCUUUACAGCUUAUACCAAGUAUCCUUCAAUGUAUACAUGAAAAUACCUGAAAAUAUAUGAUCAUAAAACUUACAGAGUUUGAUUGAUGAAAACUUAUAAUGAGAGUGGAUAUAUAUCACAUCUUAUGUGACGCCCCCAAAAUAGGUAUACACGACCCAUUCUGAGUCGUCAGAUAUCACACUAUAAAAAUUAAAUACAAACUUCAUGUAUACAACUGUUGAACUGUCGUAUAGAAUACGACCAUAGUUAAUCUGUGAGUUUUAAUACAAUAUUAUCUCGUAGACAGUAUCCAAACUCAAAUUGUUACAAUGCCAUAUAAAAUACAGCAGCAAAAAAUUUAAGACCCCAAAGAAGAACGAGAAGAUUACUAUCAUAUUCAUUCUAAUGAGGUGCACUUUUGACGCUUUCAAAGUCGGGUUCUCAUCACCCUAUUGUUGUUCGCCAAAAUCAAUUAUUAAGUGACGUAUAAAAUAAGACACACACAUCUUAGGUCCUCAAUACAAUUAUCUGUUGCAUGUCAUGCCGUUUUAUAAUGUAUUAAGAAACUUUGACAGUCUCGGACCAUCACACUAUUUCCUUGUUAUCUCCGCUCGACCCAGCUACACUCUUAUUACCUGAAAGGAAUUGUGAAGCAAAAAGGGUGAGCACAACUAGCCUAGUAAAGAAUAUCAUGACUAAAGAUAAUUAAAUUAUCAAUAGCUUUCAUCAAUAAUAAAUCAGAGAUUUAGAACAUAUGGUAGAUGAUAAAACUUUUCAACCAUAAUUGCAGCGGAACGAACAAUCCCUUAGAAGAGUCAAAUAGACCAUCGGAUCUAUUAUCUUCUCUAUGUUAAAAGUCCACCGAUAAUGUUUUAUCCCUGUAACAUCAAUAAACAAUUCUUGUCCACAAUCAUAUGAAUAACUCAUAAUCAUAAUCGUGGUUCUAAAUUCCUCUUCGCACCCAGGACGAAGAUAAUUUUCAUCACCUAUCUUUACCUAAAACAUCAAAAAUCAUGGUUAUACCAAAUCACAAUUUAUACUCAUAAUCAUACUAAUUAAAUCAUCUUUGCACUACGGCUAAAAAUAUUCAUUAUUAUCACAUCUAUGAAUUAAUAUUUCAUUGCUGAAACUCAGCUCAAUAAUUAAUCCACAUCAUCAAUUCAUCCCUGCACUACAGGCCAAGGAUAUUCUUUAGUAUCACGACCAUGAAUUAUCCAUGCACUACGGGCCAAAGAUAAUCGUGUUUUCAUCAACGGUCCUGAUCAUGCCAUAAAAAAAUUCAUCUUUGCACCCUUGGCCGAAGAAAAUCCAUAGUCAUAAUCAUACCAAAAACUGUCCAUCAAUGCACUACGGCCAAUGAGGACUUUUUUCACAUCAUUUGUAACAUUACGGUCAUGAUUAUACCGAAUAAUCCCUGGUCAUAAUCAUACCAAGUCCAUCUUUGCACUACAUGCCACAAAUGACUUUCAACAUAAUAUAUAUAUGAGAAUGAUGACAAUGAUAUAAGUAUUAAUCAAACGAAAACAAGGAUAAAUAUUAAAGACUUUAAAUUUAUCCAAAUAUUAUCAACCACUCAUAAUCUAAUAUUAUUAAUAUCAUAACAAUAUUUUAAUUACUUCUUAAACUUAUAAACAAUUUAUUUCAAUUGUUUACACUUUACCAAAUAAUGCAUUUAAUCAUUCAAAAAAUGUCAUACUCAUCAAAUUUCAUUUCCAAUGAUCAAAUCCCUUAUCAAAAAUUUGCAUAUACCUUAUAUAGGAUUUCCAAGUCAUAAAAUCCUAUUUUUCAAUUUUGUUACAUUACAUAACAUAUUUAACUCAUAUACUCAUAACUAGUGCAUUUUCAUAAAAAAUACCAAAUCAGUCCCAAAAAUAUUUCUUUUCUGGGAUUUAGCAGAAUAUAGUCCCAUAUUGAACAUAUAUUUUUCUCAGAAUUUUUAAAAUUCAUUUACUAUUUUUCAAAUAUCAAUUUCUAAUUAAUUCCUUAAGAAAUUAGCUACCUCAAGUUUAACUCCAGAAAUUCUCAAAUCUUGGCAGGAUCUUACACAUGUUAACGUGAGCUUCCAGUUUAAAUUUCAUGGUCAUCGGAGUUAUAGAACUCCGGUUAUAGCGUUUUUCGUCGGAAAAACCUAAAUAUUGAAAUAGUCAUAACUUGCUCAUUUUAAGUCGGAAUAAGCUCAUUUUUGGACAGGAGGUACUUUACAGCAUAUAUUUUCAUGUCCCAAAAGGCCGGAAUUUUUCUCACAAUUUAAGUGGCCGAAAAUGCCCUUUUAAAAUUUUGGACAGUAGCUUUUUUGGAAAUUUCAGUUUUUGAUUCCUUUGCUAAAAUCAGUCCACACGAAAAUCUACAACACCUUUUUCAGUGAUUCCACGUGGAUAAGUUAGGAAACUCAUAGGUCUAACUCUAUAACUUGACCACACUCAAAAAUUCGAAACAUAAUAAGAGAUAUGGUCAAUUGAAUUUCAUGUUCCAUUUUCACCAAAAUCUGAUUUUUCAACCGUUUGUGAUUUCUAAGAAACUUUCAUGUUUUCACAUAAUAACCAACAUAACUCAUCAUAACACUUACUAAUACCACAUAUACCCAUGAUUUUCAUCAGUCCAAUGCUUUUAUUAUGACUUUCAUUAUAAUCCUCGUAAACAGAUCAUUUCCACAAUUUAAUAAGGAAUGAAUAUAAAGGAUCAUUCACCAUGCAUGUGGUAAUCCACAUAGACAGAUUAUUCCAACAGAAUAAUAAAGAAUGGAAUAACAGAAGAAUUCACCAUGCAUGCGAUAGACCGCACAGACAGGUUAUUCUCGACAAAAUAAUAAAUAAUGGAACCAGGUCCGGCGUAAACGCACAGACAGGAUAUUCCGACAGAAUAAUAAAUAAUGGAAUAAUAACAAAUAUCACCAUGCAUGAGAUAGACCGCACAGACAGGUUAUUCCAACAGAAUAAUAAUUAAUGAAACCAGGUCAGGCGUAAUACGCACCAACAAGAUAUUCUAACAGAAUAAUAAAGAAUUGAAUAAGAGAAGAAUUUCAUCAUGUGUGUGAUACUUCGCAUAAACAGGUUAUUCCAACAUAAUAGUAAAGAAUAGAAUAACAGAAGUUCUCUUCAUAAAUACAAAAAAAAUAAUACCCCUUACGGGUACAACAAAUAAUAUCACUUAACUUUGAAAGAAGAGUAUUCCCACUGGUAGGGCGAGGAUAUACUCGAAAAAAACUUGCACUACGCUCAAAGCUUUCUUAAACUCUAAAGAAAUACGCUCAAAAUUAUAUAAGAAGAAUUCUUUCUAUAGUUUCUCUCUCUAGAGUUUCAGUGAAUUCGUAAGAAAUAAAGAAGGAAUGAGCUUCUAUUUAUAGGAGAAUGGACUGCAUAAUAACUAAUUCAUGAACGAUCCAGAUUGAUUUACUUUUAAACGGACGGUCCAUAUUGAUUUAAUAAAAUAUUCUAAUAAAAUAAAAAUUUUUAAAUAAAAUAUAAUAUAUUCUAUUUAUAAUCUAAUAAAACGAAUAAUUUUAUAAAAGUAUUCUGUUUUAUAUAAAAAGAUUUUACUAUGCAAAAUACUAUGCAGACACUAUGCAAUACUAUGCAUAAUAAAAUAUAAUAUAUUCUAAUUAUUGUCUAAUAAAACAAAUAACUUUAUAAAAGUAUUCUGUUUUAUAUAAAAAAAAUUUACUAUGCAAAAUACUAUGCAUAAUAAAUAUUAUAUAUUCUAUUUAUAGUCUAAUAAAACGAAUAAUUUUAUAAAAGUAUUCUGUUUUAUAUAAAAAGUUUUUCUGUUUUAUUACAUUAAUAAUACUAAUAAAACAAAACUGAGUGACUUCUCACGUAAGCAUUAAUAAUCAAUACCGUGUACUACUAUGCAACCACGCGUAUUACUGUACUUUUACUACCGAGUAGUUCAACAGUNNNNNNNNNNNNNNNNNNNNNNNNNNNNNNNNNNNNNNNNNNNNNNNNNNNNNNNNNNNNNNNNNNNNNNNNNNNNNNNNNNNNNNNNNNNNNNNNNNNNNNNNNNNNNNNNNNNNNNNNNNNNNNNNNNNNNNNNNNNNNNNNNNNNNNNNNNNNNNNNNNNNNNNNNNNNNNNNNNNNNNNNNNNNNNNNNNNNNNNNNNNNNNNNNNNNNNNNNNNNNNNNNNNNNNNNNNNNNNNNNNNNNNNNNNNNNNNNNNNNNNNNNNNNNNNNNNNNNNNNNNNNNNNUUACUUUGCAAAAUUUUCACAUAUCACCCUUAACUUUAAACUUUUAUCAAUUUAACUAUUUACCAAAAUAGAAAAAUUGAAUACUUUUAUUUCAUAAAAUUCGGGGUCUCACAGCUUACAACUUUCAGAAAUAUAUAAACAUGGCUUCGCUAUAAUCACAGCUGGUCCUGAGUUUUUUAAGGCCCAGUACAAAUUUUUUUAAGUGUGCCCCUUUAUAUAAAUAAAAUAAAUAAAUAAAUAAAUUAUCAACUAAUAAUUUUAUUAAAAUUAUAAGAAUUUACAAAAGAUAAGGAAGAACAUUUUAAAAUGUCAUCGAAGCAAAGAAUCAUCACAUGUACGUACAAAAUAAAAAUAUUAAUGAAAUCGAUAAAAUUAAUGAAAUACCCAUUGUAGUUGGCAAGUUUUACUGAUUACACAAUUUAACUUUUAAUUUUUCAAAUUACCCCACUAAACUAAUUAUUAUUUUGAAAUUGGGUUAUUCCGUUAAAAAAAAUAAACGGACGUUAAUUUUUAUCUACAAAACUAAUGUACCCACUGUAGUUGGCACGUUUUACUGAUUACGCCAUGGAACUUUUAAUUUUUCAGAUUACCCCAUUAAACUAAUUAAAAAAUGAUUAUUUUAAAUAUUUUUAAAAAUAAUUAUUAUUUUCAGUAAAAAAUUAUUAGAAACUUUAAUUUUUUUUUUCCAUAAAAUGAGUAAAGUUUCAUAAAAUAUAGAUUUAAAAAAAUUAAAAUUUUAUGAAACCAUAUUGAUUUUAAAAAAAUCUUUUUUUUCUUUUGAAAAUAAAGUUUAUUUUUUGAAUCUAUAUUUUAUAAAAUUUUACUCAAUUUUUAAAAAUAUGAAGAAUUUUCCAAUUUUUUUCUUGAAAAUAAUAUUUAUUUAUAAAAAUUAAUAAUUUAUUUUUUGAAAAAAUUAAAUCAGUUUUUUUAUUUAUCUUUUACUAUUUUUUUUUAUUAAUAUUUUUAGGUUUUUUAAAAAAUUUCUAAUAUUAAAAAUAGGUCAUUCUGUUAAAAAAUUAAGUAGACAUUAAUUUUAAAUCACUUUAAUUUUUUUUAAUCUAUAUUUUAUGAAACUCUACUCAUUUUAUGAAGGAAAAAAGUUUCUAAUAUUUUUUACCUAAAAUAAUAAUUAUUUUUAAAAAUAUUUAAAAUAAUUACUUUUAAUUAGUUUGAUAAUUUAAAAAAUUAAAAGUUUAAUGGUGUAAUCAGUAAAAUGUGCUAACUACAAUAGGUAAUUAAUUAAUUUUGUAGAUAAAAAAAUAACGUCCGUUUAUUUUUUUUAACGGAAUGACACAAUUUUAAAAUAAUAAUUAGUUUAGUGGUGUAAUUUGAAAAAUUAAAAGUUCAAUGAUGUAAUCAGUAAAACCUACCAACUACAGUAGGUGUUUCUUUAGUUUUGACCAAUGAAAUCUAAACCACAAAACAUUAUUUAAAAUGUCUUUUUGUUGCACUUUUAGGUGCAAAAUCAUCAAUUAUACUAUUAUAUUUAAUAUUUCAUAUCAUUUUUAAUGUAUAAUAUCCCUAAUCUUUUUAUUAUUUUAUUUUUUUAUACACAUAAAUACAUAAACUUAUAAAAAAAUUGGGCCCCUUCAACUGUGGGCCCUGGGCGGUAGCCCUGGUGGCCCUUGCCCAGGGCCGGCUCUGACCAUAAUUAAAAUACCAAUAAUAUAUUAACCAAUUAAAAUUCAAUUCCCAAAUUACGUUAAAUCUCAUCACCCAAAAAAAAAAUCAAAACUAUAUAUCCAAAAGGCAAAGAUUUAAAUAUAUUCAAAAGACAAAUAUUUAUUAAAUAUCCAAAACUAUAUAUACUACCUUAUUCCCAUAAUGAGGGUCCUAAGUCCUAAUUCAAAAAUCAAAGAUUUAAAUGUAUUCACCUUGAAGAACAUGUUUCCCUGCCUUCAGCAGCUUCAGAGACAUAACCACCUACAUAAUUUGGUUCUCGUGUUAACAAUAUCUUUGAUCAAACAAAUAAAACAACUGAAGAAGAUAUUCCGAUAAAUAAAAAUUAAAUAUUAAAUCCAAGAGUGAAGACCGCUACAAAAUAGAAAUCUGCUAAGGUGUGCUGAAGUAUCCUUCUAGAAAGGAAUUACAAUUUUAAUGAAUAUCAAAAUUGAAAACCUUUGUGUUACUAUUUUUGCUAACUUUAUAAUAGAUGUUUAUUUAUAAGAUGCUGAGUACGCUGUUACUCUAGAAAAAAUCUUACGAUGCGCUUUUAUUAGUAUGUUUUAUAAUUUUUCAUUCUUGUUUUGGUCGCUUUUAUUAGUAGGUUUUUAAAUUUUAGUGAUGCAAUGCAAAUAAUUAUAAAUCCAGUGACCGAAUGCAAGCUUCAGGGAAAGAUUAUUUAGUAGCAUAAUGAGCACAUUUUUUGAGUCUCAUGAAAUACAAGUCCUGGGAAGAAAUAAGAAAAGAUAAUAAUCAAGUAUCCACAAGUUUUGAACUUCUUGGUUUUGUCGACUCUUCUUUUCAUGGUUGAAGAGUAAAUGGAUCUGGCAAAUCCAGAAUACUUUCAAUUGGUAGAGGGCUCAGAUCAUCUCUUACUUCUUCAUUCCUAAAUCAAUUACUUGGGAACCUAAUUAACUACAUUGGAAAAUUAGUGAAAUUUGUUAGUCAAUGUGUAAUAUCAAAUAUACAUUAGCCAGGUCAGCUUGCAUUGACCGAAUGUUUUUAACUGAAUAUGAAUAUAGCAGGAAAUUUAAAUUAGAGAUUUUUCGUUGUUAUAUGGCUCCUCAUGGCUAAAUUUAACAAUCACCAGUUACCCCAGUGGAUUUAUUACAUGGUUUUAUUUUGAUGCAUUUAAUUGGUCUAUUAAGGGAUGUCAUCUAUUAAGGGCCAUAAUUGACGUGAUGUUUACCUUUCGUAUGAUGUCUUGGAGUCUCUUUCCAGAUAGAGUUGCUUGCUCCCUUUUAGAUGCACUGAUGCAACAUCUUUCAAGGUUCUAGCAUUUAAUUUUGUUUUAAUACUUUUUAGUUUCUAUUACUUUAGCUGCUUUGCAUUUGAUGAAUUUUAUCGUCACAUGUUUUCGUAUUUUAUAGGUUGAUCUUACUCUCUUUGGAUAAAUAUUCAAACUCCUUGUGAGGUGGCAAAAUGAUUGAAUUCAUAUAGUUGAAAAUCUUAAAAUUUCCAGAAUCGAUUUUAGAGCUGCUGAGGAUUUCCCUUUAAGAUUUAGUUCCUUUGAUACAUUUAGUACUUUUGAGCUUUUAGUUUUUCUUUUUUAAGAGACUGAAAAGUUCAGACCCACAGUUUGAAGGCUAGUAUUAACAUAAAAUAAACAGAAAAUGAGUAGAUAAAUUAAGUUCACGCAACAUUGAUAAUAACCUCGGAUCCUCAAGAUCUACAGUAAUUUAUACAUAAUCAAUCAUGUAUGAAGGCAUAUUAAUAUGCCAAAAAGGAAAACGAAAUCAUGAAAGAACAAACCCCAAAGUUUUCACGGAACUCUCCCAUAGCAAGCGAAAUUGAUACCAAAAAAGUAAGAAAUUCAGGUUGGAAACAUAAACCCAGAUACAAAUAAAACACAAUUUAUGAGUUAUAAAUAAGAAUUUAUCACUGCGUCAAUCGACACAAUCAAUAAAUUCAAAACCCAGAAAGGGGUUUUACAACGCAUACAAGUCUAUAAUAGACAGAGUGAGACUUACAGUGUUAACGAAGCAACUACAAAUACUACCUAUGUGAGAAUCAAUGGAGAUGGAGAUUAAAGGAUGUAAAAUAAACCUUAUUUCUAUAGCAGCAACAGUUCGAUCCGAUUUUCUCAACCCAAAGAAGAAAGAAAAAGAUAAAAUUCCUUUUCAUGGAGACAAUACGGGGAAUGGAAAAAAUAGAGCUUCUGUAGAAGUCCCUAAAUUGCAUCCAAUUUCUGUUUAUUUUGAUUAGGUUGUGCGUGUGUAAUAGUUAUUGGGGUAAUGUGUUU
rnacentral:lncRNA from 1 species